rnacentral:rRNA from 1 species
UACGGGGGGGGCAAGCGUUGUUCGGAAUUACUGGGCGUAAAGGGUUUGUAGGUGGCUCGCUAAGUCAGACGUGAAAUCCCUCAGCUUAACUGGGGAACUGCGUCUGAGACUGGCAAGCUUGAGUGCAGGAGAGGAACGCGGAAUUCCAGGUGUAGCGGUGAAAUGCGUAGAUAUCUGGAGGAACACCGGUGGCGAAGGCGGCGUUCUGGACUGUAACUGACACUGAGGAACGAAAGCCAGGGGAGCAAACGGG